AUGGGGGAAGAUGGUGGUGCGUGUGAUGUGAGCUUGGGUUUGGGCUGUGGUGGGGGUAUCUCUUUUUCAUUUUUUUUUAUUUUUUCUGUAGAUAGAUGGAUGGAUGGAUGUGGGAUGGUGAGAUGGAUGGAUGGAUGGAUGGGCGCCAUGUCAUCGAUCCGUGGGAAGAGUCCUGAUUGGUUCAGAAAACUAGUGAUUUAA
rnacentral:rRNA from 1 species